rnacentral:rRNA from 1 species
UACGAAGGGGGGCUAGCGUUGCUCGGAAUGACUGGGCGUAAAGGGCGCGUAGGCGGACGGCUUUGUCGGGCGUGAAAUUCCAGGGCUUAACCUUGGGGCUGCGUUCGAGACGGGUUGUCUAGAGUUUGGAAGAGGGUCGUGGAAUUCCCAGUGUAGAGGUGAAAUUCGUAGAUAUUGGGAAGAACACCGGUGGCGAAGGCGGCGACCUGGUCCUUGACUGACGCUGAGGCGCGAAAGCGUGGGGAGCAAACAGG